rnacentral:rRNA from 1 species
AGAGUUUGAUCCUGGCUCAGGACGAGCGCUGGCGGUGUGCUUCACACAUGCAAGUCGAGCGAAUGAAGAAGGUAGCUUGCUACUUUUGGAUUUAGCGGCGGACGGGUGAGUAAUAUAUAGGAAUCUGCCCUAGAGCGGGGAACAACAGACCGAAAGGUUUGCUAAUGCCCCAUAGGUACGCAGUCUUCGGAUUGUUUAUUAAAGGAGUAAUCCACUCUAGGAUGAGCCUGUAUCCGAUUAGCUAGUUGGCGGGGUAAAGGCCCACCAAGGCUACGAUCGGUAGUUGGUCUGAGAGGAUGAUCAGCCACAAUGGGACUGAGACACGGCCCAUACUCCUACGGGAGGCAGCAGUGGGGAAUUUUACACAAUGGGGGAAACCCUGAUGUAGCGACACCGCGUGAACGAAGAAGCCUUUUGGGGUGUAAAGUUCUGUCGGCUGGAACGAAAAAAAUGACGGUACCAGCAAAGGAAGCAUCGGCUAACUACGUGCCAGCAGCCGCGGUAAGACGUAGGAUGCAAGCGUUGUCCGGAUUUAUUGGGCGUAAAGAGUUCGUAGGCGGUUAUUUAAGUCUGGUGUUAAAUACUGUGGCCCAACCACAGAACUGCAUUGGAUACUGGAUGACUUGAGUGCGGUAGAGGCGAGUGGAAUUCCCAGUGUAGCGGUGAAAUGCGUAGA